rnacentral:misc_RNA from 1 species
GUGAAUCAUCGAAUCUUUGAACGCACCUUGCGCCUCUUGGUAUUCCGAGGGGCAUGCCUGUUUGAGUGUCGUUGAAUCCUCAAAAGGGAAGCUUGACCGUUUCUCUUUUGGAAUUGGGGUGUGCUGGCCUUUUGUCAAUGAAGCCCAGCUCCUCUAAAAUACAUUAGCGAUGUGACAUCCGCAUGCACCGCGCUUCUCUGGCAUUGAUAGUAUCUUCAUGCUAGGGGCGGGUUUUGCAGCUGUGGAAAGCUUUGCUCGCUCACAACUGAUGGCGUGGAGAGGUGCCUUUGCGCCUCCUCA